rnacentral:tRNA from 2 species
GGGCUUAUGGUCUAGGGGUAUGAUACUCCCUUCGCAGCUGGUUUCAUUCGAGAUCACCGAAGAUUGGGAGUGGUCCGGGGUUCAAUUCCCCGUGAGUCCA